rnacentral:rRNA from 1 species
UAACGGUCCUAAGGUAGCGAAAUUCCUUGUCGGGUAAGUUCCGACCCGCACGAAUGGCGUAACGAUGGCCACACUGUCUCCUCCCGAGACUCAGCGAAGUUGAAGUGGUUGUGAAGAUGCAAUCUACCCGCUGCUAGACGGAAAGACCCCGUGAACCUUUACUGUAGCUUUGCAUUGGACUUUGAAGUCACUUGUGUAGGAUAGGUGGGAGGCUUUGAAGCAGAGACGCCAGUCUCUGUGGAGCCGUCCUUGAAAUACCACCCUGGUGUCUUUGAGGUUCUAACCCAGACCCGUAAUCCGGGUCGGGGACCGUGCAUGGUAGGCAGUUUGACUGGGGCGGUCUCCUCCCAAAGAGUAACGGAGGAGUUCGAAGGUUACCUAGGUCCGGUCGGAAAUCGGACUGAUAGUGCAAUGGCAAAAGGUAGCUUAACUGCGAGACCGACAAGUCGAGCAGGUGCGAAAGCAGGACAUAGUGAUCCGGUGGUUCUGUAUGGAAGGGCCAUCGCUCAACGGAUAAAAGGUACUCCGGGGAUAACAGGCUGAUUCCGCCCAAGAGUUCAUAUCGACGGCGGAGUUUGGCACCUCGAUGUCGGCUCAUCACAUCCUGGGGCUGUAGUCGGUCCCAAGGGUAUGGCUGUUCGCCAUUUAAAGUGGUACGUGAGCUGGGUUUAAAACGUCGUGAGACAGUUUGGUCCCUAUCUGCAGUGGGCGUUGGAAGUUUGACGGGGGCUGCUCCUAGUACGAGAGGACCGGAGUGGACGAACCUCUGGUGUACCGGUUGUAACGCCAGUUGCAUAGCCGGGUAGCUAAGUUCGGAAGAGAUAAGCGCUGAAAGCAUCUAAGCGCGAAACUCGCCUGAAGAUGAGACUUCCCUUGUGGUUUAACCACACUAAAGAGUCGUUCGAGACCAGGACGUUGAUAGGUGGGGUGUGGAAGCGCGGUAACGCGUGAAGCUAACCCAUACUAAUUGCUCGUGAGGCUUGACUCU